rnacentral:rRNA from 1 species
GACGAACGCUGGCGGCGUGCUUAACACAUGCAAGUCGAACGGAAAGGCCCUGCUUUUGUGGGGUGCUCGAGUGGCGAACGGGUGAGUAACACGUGAGUAACCUGCCCUUGACUUUGGGAUAACUUCAGGAAACUGGGGCUAAUACCGGAUAGGAGCUCCUGCUGCAUGGUGGGGGUUGGAAAGUUUCGGCGGUUGGGGAUGGACUCGCGGCUUAUCAGCUUGUUUGUGGGGUAGUGGCUUACCAAGGCUUUGACGGGUAGCCGGCCUGAGAGGGGGACCGGCCACAUUGGGACUGAGAUACGGCCCAGACUCCUACGGGAGGCAGCAGUGGGGAAUAUUGCACAAUGGGCGGAAGCCUGAUGCAGCAACGCCGCGUGCGGGAUGACGGCCUUCGGGUUGUAAACCGCUUUCGCCUGUGACGAAGCGUGAGUGACGGUAAUGGGUAAAGAAGCACCGGCUAACUACGUG